CCUACGGGGGGCAGCAGUGGGGAAUUUUCCGCAAUGGGCGAAAGCCUGACGGAGCAAUACCGCGUGAGGGAUGAAGGCCUAUGGGUUGUAAACCUCUUUUUUCAGGGAGGAAUAAAAUGACGUGUACCUGAAGAAUAAGCAUCGGCUAACUCCGUGCCAGCAGCCGCGGUAAGACGGGGGAUGCAAGUGUUAUCCGGAAUCACUGGGCGUAAAGCGUCUGUAGGUGGUUAAAUAAGUCAACUGUUAAAUCUUGAGGCUCAACCUCAAAAUCGCAGUCGAAACUGUUUGACUAGAGUAUAGUAGGGGUAAAGGGAAUUUCCAGUGGAGCGGUGAAAUGCGUAGAGAUUGGAAAGAACACCGAUGGCGAAGGCACUUUACUGGGCUAUUACUAACACUGAGAGACGAAAGCUAGGGUAGCAAAUGGGAUUAGAUACCCCUGUAGUC
rnacentral:rRNA from 1 species